AUUGAACGCUGGCGGCAUGCCUUACACAUGAAAGUCGAACGGUAACAGGUUAAGCUGACGAGUGGCGAACGGGUGAGUAAUAUAUCGGAGCGUGCCCAGUCGUGGGGGAUAACUGCUCGAAAGAGCAGCUAAUACCGCAUACGACCUGAGGGUGAAAGCGGGGGAUCGCAAGACCUCGCGCGAUUGGAGCGGCGGAUAUCAGAUUAGGUAGUUGGUGGGGUAAAGGCCUACCAAGCCUACGAUCUGUAGCCGGUCUGAGAGGACGACCAGCCACACUGGGACUGAGACACGGCCACGACUCCUACGGGAGGCAGCAGUGGGGAAUUUUGGACAAUGGACGCAAGGCUGAUCCAGCCAUGCCGGGUGCGGGAAGAAGGCCUUCGGGUUGUAAACCGCUUUUGUCAGGGAAGAAAAGGUUCUGGUUAAUACCUGGGACUCAUGACGGUACCUGAAGAAUAAGCACCGGCUAACUACGUGCCAGCAGCCGCCGUAA
rnacentral:rRNA from 1 species